rnacentral:rRNA from 1 species
AUGGUGCCAAGAGAUAUGCAUGUCCUGAGUCAGCCGAUAAUGCAAGUUGUGGGUGAUCUGAACCUGGGUAUUGUGGAACGGGGACUAGUUACCUGUUCUAUGGCCGCACAUUCAUUUAUGAGCAUACAACAAAUGGGCGCUCUAAGCACAGGAUGUUCUAACAAUAUUUUUGUUCACUUCAUGCUAAGUGCGCAAUAUGAACUAGGCUGUGUUGCUGUUAUUUACUUGCUUGAGGACUUUUUUAGCCCAGUUAACCUUGAGUGGCGACCGGAAAGGCCACUGCUAGUAAAAGCUAAUUCCAGCAAGUUGUGUUCAUUCGGGAAGUGUGAUUCAUAUUCCACAUUAUGCUUGUUCCCUUGGAAUCCAGGGGAUUAUUUGCUCAGAAUAACCAUGGGGUUUCUUACUGCUAGCAGUGGUUCACAAUGGCAUGUUAAGUGUAUCAUUGCGCAGUCCGGUCAGUGCUUCUCACGGAUUGUAAAAAUCGAGUGGUUGUUUCCUAUUUGUCCGAAGAUGAUGACAUGGUGCUUGGUUUUACUAUCUCCUGCUAACAAUGAUUAUGAGCUGUGGCGUCGACCAGAUCAAACAAAAAAUGUGGUUUGCUUGGGAAGUUCAGAAUAUUGCAUAUUUUUCUAG